ACGACUCAGAAUAACACACACACACUUAAAUCUGUGGUCAGCAGCUUUAGUGUUGGUUAACGAUGUCUAACUGUGCAGUGUGUCAGCCAAUUUGUGUGUCACCGAUAAUUCUGCAGGCUAUUACUGAUGCGUGUGUGUGUGUACGGAGGACUAUGGACUGUUCCUAAUGGAACUCCCGACAGACUGAACAACAUGAAACAGCACAGACGUCAGCAAUGUGCCUACUGUAACCCAUUGACCACGGAUUAUUCAGCAGGGAGGAAAUUUCACAAAUUGCUGAGGUUGUUACUUGCAAAA